rnacentral:sRNA from 1 species
UGAACUCCUGACCUCGUGAUCUGCCCGCCUCGGCCUCCCAAACUGCUGGGAUUACAGGCUUGAGCCACCACGCCUGGCCCCAACCUUCUUUGUCAAGUGUAACAGAGACAGAGAAACACGUGGAGCAUAAAGAAGGAACUUGCACAGUGCUUUCUAAAUUGGGCAAACACUUAAAAAGCAAGAAUUUUCAUACAGAUCUAGAUUUCUGGCUUCUCUUAAAAUACUGGCAGAUCUAACCCACUGGGCACACCCUCCUGCAGGGCUGGGAGCCAGCAGCUGCCACUUGCUGUCCCCGCGGUCUGAAGCUCGGCUGCUUCCCUGUGUGUCUGCGUUUAUGCCCGUGCCCCCCGCCACUCCUGUCCCAUGCCCACAGUGGGGGCUCCUCCAGUCCGCAGGGGGCCCAGAGUGGUGACCCUGGAGUCUGCUGGCACCCCCUCCUUUUGGCCAGUACACCUAGGAGCAGGCUGGCUGACCCCAUGCCCCUCCCCAGGAGGGUUUCUCUUCCCCUCCCAGUUCGCUGACCUCGCCCUCCACGCCCUCCAGCCUGGGGCCCUCACUCUCCAGCACCAGUGGCAUCGGGACCAGCCCCAGUUUGAGGUCGCUGCAGAGCCUGCUGGGCCCCAGUUCCAAGUUCCGCCAUGCUCAGGGCACUGUCCUGCACCGAGACAGCCAUAUCACCAACCUCAAGGGGCUCAACCUCACCACACCUGGUGAGAGUGACGGCUUCUGUGCCAACAAGCUGCGUGUGGCUGUGCCGCUGCUCAGCAGUGGGGGACAGGUGGCUGUGCUUGAGCUACGGAAGCCUGGCCGCCUGCCCGACACGGCACUGCCCACGCUGCAGAAUGGGGCAGCUGUGACUGAUCUGGCCUGGGACCCCUUUGACCCCCAUCGCCUCGCUGUGGCUGGUGAGGACGCCAGGAUCCGACUGUGGCGGGUACCCGCAGAGGGCCUGGAAGAGGUGCUCACCACGCCAGAGACUGUGCUCACAGGUCAGGCAGGCUCAGGAAUGGGGCUGGGGUGGCCAGUGUCUCCCAAGGGCUCCUGAUCACCCCUGCCUUCCUCCAGGCCACACGGAGAAGAUCUGUUCCCUGCGCUUCCACCCACUGGCAGCCGAUGUGCUGGCCUCGUCCUCCUAUGACCUCACUGUUCGCAUCUGGGACCUUCAGGCUGGAGCUGAUCGGCUGAAGCUGCAGGGCCACCAAGACCAGAUCUUCAGCCUGGCCUGGAGUCCUGAUGGGCAGCAGCUGGCCACUGUCUGCAAGGAUGGGCGUGUGCGGGUCUACAGGCCCCGGAGUGGCCCUGAGCCCCUGCAGGUGAGCACACAGGGGCUGGGGAGUGGCCUCAGACCUGGUUCAGGGGUGCUGGCUGGGUGUCACGCGAUGUAUCUCAACAGGAAGGCCCAGGGCCCAAGGGAGGACGCGGAGCUCGCAUUGUCUGGGUAUGUGAUGGUCGCUGUCUGCUGGUGUCCGGCUUUGACAGCCAAAGUGAGCGCCAGCUGCUCCUAUAUGAAGCUGAGGCCCUGGCCGGCGGACCCUUGGCAGUGUUGGGCCUGGACGUGGCUCCCUCAACCCUGCUGCCCAGCUACGACCCAGACACUGGCCUGGUGCUCCUGACCGGCAAGGGCGACACCCGUGUAUUCCUGUACGAGCUGCUCCCCGAGUCCCCUUUCUUCCUGGAGUGCAACAGCUUCACGUCGCCCGACCCCCACAAGGGCCUCGUCCUCCUGCCUAAGACGGAGUGCGACGUGCGGGAAGUGGAGCUGAUGCGGUGCCUGCGGCUGCGCCAGUCCUCCCUGGAGCCUGUGGCCUUCCGGCUGCCCCGAGUCCGGAAAGAGUUCUUCCAGGAUGACGUGUUCCCAGACACGGCUGUGAGCUGGGAGCCUGUGCUCAGUGCCGAGGCCUGGCUGCAAGGCGCUAAUGGGCAGCCCUGGCUUCUCAGCCUGCAGCCUCCUAACAUGAGCCCAGUGAGCCAAGCCCCCCGAGAGGCCCCUGCUCGUCGGGCCCCAUCCUCAGCGCAGUACCUGGGAGAGAAGUCUGACCAGCAAAAGAAGGAGGAGGUAGGCAUGGGAGAGAACAGCUGUGCGGAGGUGACAGAGUCCUGGCUGCACCUGGCCACGGCCCCUUAGUUCUCCAUCCCCAACCCAGACUGGGACAGCAGCCACAUGUCACAUCCCCUUCACACCAGAGCCUGGUGGGGAGACCUUCCAGAGCCCUGCCACUGACCAUGGGGCCCAGGAAGUGGGGGAGGGCAGUGGGAGCCCUGCCCUGGCCAGACCAAACCCAGCCUAAGCCGGCAGUUCUGGGCCCAAGUGCUUUUGGGACCUUGAAGUAUAUUUUGAGCACUUGAGGCCAUGUGCAGAGAUAGUAGCCCUUGUAUCUGGUGCCACAUGCCACAGCCUCUCAGUCUCUUACUCCGCCUGUCUCUUCUUUGUGUCUUUUUCAAUAGAAACCCAUCGAUUUUGUCAGGGCUUUAAUUAAAAUGGCUCUUUUGAGGCCGGGCAUGGUGGUUCAUGUCUGUAAUCCUAACACUUUGGGAGCCCAAGGCAGGCGGAUUGCUUGAGCUCAGGAGUUUGAGACCACCCUGGGCAACACGGUGAAACCCCGUCUGUACUAAAAUACAAAAAUUUAGCCAGGCAUGGUGGCGGGCGCCUGUGAUCCCAGCUACUUGGGAGACUGAGGCAGGAGAAUCACUUGAACCCAGGAGGUGGAGAUUGCAGUGAGCCGAAAUCGUGCCAUUGUACUCCAGCCUGGGUGACAGAGCGAGACUCCGUCUCAAUAAAUAAAUAAAUAAAU